AGAGUUUGAUCAUGGCUCAGAUUGAACGCUGGCGGAAUGCUUUACACAUGCAAGUCGAGCGGCAGCGCGGGGCAACCUGGCGGCGAGCGGCGAACGGGUGAGUAAUGCAUCGGAACAUGUCCAUGUCGUGGGGGAUAGCCCGGCGAAAGCCGGAUUAAUACCGCAUACGCCCGAGAGGGGAAAGCCGGGGACCGCAAGGCCUGGCGCGAUUGGGUUGGCCGAUGUCCGAUUAGCUUGUUGGUGAGGUAAAGGCUUACCAAGGCGAUGAUCGGUAGCUGGUCUGAGAGGAUGAUCAGCCACACUGGGACUGAGACACGGCCCAGACUCCUACGGGAGGCAGCAGUGGGGAAUUUUGGACAAUGGGGGCAACCCUGAUCCAGCCAUUCCGCGUGAGUGAAGAAGGCCUUCGGGUUGUAAAGCUCUUUUGUCCGGAGCGAAACGGUACGGGUGAAUAUCCCGUGCUACUGACGGUACCGGAAGAAUAAGCACCGGCUAACUACGUGCCAGCAGCCGCGGUAAUACGUAGGGUGCGAGCGUUAAUCGGAAUUACUGGGCGUAAAGCGUGCGCAGGCGGUUGUGUAAGCCAGAUGUGAAAUCCCCGGGCUUAACCUGGGAAUGGCAUUUGGGACUGCACGGCUUGAGUAUGGCAGAGGGGACUAGAAUUCCUGGUGUA
rnacentral:rRNA from 1 species